UGGGGAAUAUUGGACAAUGGGCGCAAGCCUGAUCCAGCCAUGCCGCGCGAGUGAUGAAGGCCCUAGGGUUGUAAAGCUCUUUCACCGGUGAAGAUAAUGACGGUAACCGGAGAAGAAGCCCCGGCUAACUUCGUGCCAGCAGCCGCGGUAAUACGAAGGGGGCUAGCGUUGUUCGGAUUUACUGGGCGUAAAGCGCACGUAGGCGGACUAUUAAGUCAGGGGUGAAAUCCCGGGGCUCAACCCCGGAACUGCCUUUGAUACUGGUAGUCUUGAGUUCGAGAGAGGUGAGUGGAAUUCCGAGUGUAGAGGUGAAAUUCGUAGAUAUUCGGAGGAACACCAGUGGCGAAGGCGGCUCACUGGCUCGGUACUGACGCUGAGGUGCGAAAGCGUGGGGAGCAAACAGG
rnacentral:rRNA from 1 species